CCUACGGGGGGCUGCAGUGGGGAAUAUUGGACAAUGGGCGAAAGCCUGAUCCAGCCAUGCCGCGUGUGUGAAGAAGGCCUUCGGGUUGUAAAGCACUUUCAGUGGGGAAGAAAGCCUUGGGGCUAAUACCCUCGAGGAAGGACAUCACCCACAGAAGAAGCACCGGCUAACUCCGUGCCAGCAGCCGCGGUAAUACGGAGGGUGCGAGCGUUAAUCGGAAUUACUGGGCGUAAAGCGCGCGUAGGCGGUCUGAUAAGCCGGUUGUGAAAGCCCCGGGCUCAACCUGGGAACGGCAUCCGGAACUGUCAGGCUAGAGUGCAGGAGAGGAAGGUAGAAUUCCCGGUGUAGCGGUGAAAUGCGUAGAGAUCGGGAGGAAUACCAGUGGCGAAGGCGGCCUUCUGGCCUGACACUGACGCUGAGGUGCGAAAGCGUGGGUAGCAAACAGGAUUAGAUCCCCCUGUAGUC
rnacentral:rRNA from 1 species